GAGAGCAAAUUUUGAAAGAUAUGUAGACCAAAUAGCUCAAAAUGUUAUAGCGAUUCGAAAUAUUUAGAAAAUUUAAACUAGGAUCAAAGUUAUCGGUCAGUGAAAAUCGAAAAAUCGCGUCGCGUUGUCGAAUCGUAUCCGGACCUUGAAAGGCUAAAUGGCUCGCAUGCAGAUAUGCAACUUGAUUAAAGAAGGUUGGUAAAGAAUUCCCGCGAGCUGCACGCACUGUAUAAUUGUGUGAAUCGAAGUUCGGUGAAAGACAAUGCACUAACUGUCAGUGCCACCAAUACUCGACAAACCAUAUAGUUUUUCUGGUCAGGGGUAAAUGAUUUUUUCAACCGAGGAAAAAACACCUAAAAUGCUGUAAAACUACUAAAUUAAUGCAAUAGAAAACGUAUGAAUACUCGACUUUAAUGUGGGUUACACUUAGCCUGCGUGCGUUAUACCAAUACACCCUUCCAGAAAGUACGUACCUUGGCCACAGAGUCUCGUUUUCGUGCGGCGUUAGUUAAGGCCCUGUUACACGGUGCAAUUUUUCAUGCAACUUGUCUCGCAAUGGCGUUGCGAGACAAGUUGCACGAGUCAUUGCACCCUUUAACAUGCCUUGCAAUGGUCAAAAUCGUUGCGAGACAAGUUCCAUGAAGCAUUGCAGAGAGUAGAAGUCGGUUCUACUUUUGGCAACGAUGGCACUAAUUAUUUUUAGCAUUGCAGCGUGUAACAUGGCUUCGUGCGACUUGUCUCGCAAUGUUUAAAGGUUCGGUCACACGGAGCGACAAGUCGCAGGGGCAUGUUGCAGGGACAUGUCGCCCGAAACGAGUCACACGAAGCGACAAUGCUAGGCGAAAACAAGUCGCACAAGCGCUUACAGGCGCGUGGUCACACGAGGCGACAAUUCAUGCGACAAGUCAAAGAACUCCCAUGAGGACUUAUAUUGAAAUUGAGCGCGCAAGUAGUCAUGGGAAUGAUAUUUUGUGAUUGGUCGGACUAAUUAUUUCCCCGCGACUUGUGAACAGACUAGCUCACACGAUGCAACAAGUCGCGGCAACGGUUUUUGUCCCCGCGACACGUCGCAUGAAAUCAAAUCAAUUUGAUUUCAUGCGACAUGUCGCGGGGACAAGGUCCCCGCGACAACGCUUACACAUGUGACACACGAUGAAAUUCGACCCCGCGACAUGUCCCUGCAACAUGCCCCUGCGACUUGUCGCUCCGUGUGACCGAACCUUAAUGCUUGGAGAGUUCCUAUUGGCUCUCCCCAGUACACGCUUUAAUUAAAAUUUGGCGCCAAAUUGCGCCUCUCCCUAUUCUCUUCGCAUGCCUGUCCCUUGCAGCGUGUAACACCUCUUGCAAUGCAUUAUCAAAAUCUUUUUUUAAACAUUGCGAGACAAGUUGCAUGAAAAAUUGCACCGUGUAACAGGGCCUUUAAAGUCCAACGUUGCAAUCAUGAAAUCGAGGCUCUAUUGCCAAGGUGACGAACUUUCCGGAAGCGUGUAUUAACCGAAGCAGUUCGCGCCGCCAAACCUUCGUGAACUGCAACAGUAUUACUCAUAUCAGUCUUCGAAGGAGCUAGGAGAACCAUAACUCCCCCUCAGGUAAGUUCUUCCGGGGAAAUACAAUAUCAGCGACUUUCGCAACAAACACAAGAAGGCAUGAUUCGUUAAGGACCAUUGCCCGCAAAGAUUUCGCUAUUCUACCUACCCUCCAUUAUUAAUCGUGGCACUAUCUGUAAGCAUUUUGUGUAAAAGAUCGUUUCGUGCACUCCGAGCCGUACACAAGGCGAAAAGAACACAGCUCUAGGAUAAUAAUUUAGGCCGCGUUUACACUAUGACGCUACGGCUAACACUCCGUUAAAAAUUUACUACGUUUC